UACGUAGGGAUCGAGCGUUGUCCGGAUUCAUUGGGCGUAAAGAGCUCGUAGGCGGCUGCUCAAGUCGAAUGUGAAAACUCGAGGCUCAACCUCGAGCCUGCAUUCGAUACUGGGCGGCUAGAGUCUGGUAGGGGGAUCUGGAAUUCCUGGUGUAGCGGUGGAAUGCGCAGAUAUCAGGAGGAACACCGGUGGCGAAGGCGGGUCUCUGGGCCGAUAUUGACGCUGAGGAGCGAAAGCGUGGGGAGCGAACAGG
rnacentral:rRNA from 1 species